UAUUAUAUCUCUAUUUUUGUUUUUUGUAUAAACUGCCCAGAGUAAACAUGUUCUAGAUGGGCUGUAUAUAAUUCAGAUAGAUAGAUAGAUAGAUAGAUAGAUAGAUAGAUAGAUAGAUAGAUGUUGUAAACCACCCAAAGUGGCCUUGGAUGCCAGAUGGUGGGUAUACAAAUCAAAUACCAUAUUUUUCCAUGUUUAACACAGCCCUGUUUAUAAAGAACGCCCCUACACACACACACUUUUUAAAUCCAAAUAUUAAGAAAACUUAGCUUUGAGGAUUGAGCCUCUGGGCUUAGAAUGGACAGACAUUUUGAGUCCCUGUUGAAUCUGAGCCUACAGGCUCCACCAACAAGGUGUGUUCCAAUUGGUUUGUACAGCAUCAGCUGACAUCAGUUCCAUAAAGCUCGUGACAGGAGGAAGCUAAGCCUCGUGGCUGAAGGAAGCUUGUUUACAGAGGCAAGGUAUGUGCCAUUUUGUUCUCUCCUCAGCUAUCUCAGCUUACUUCCAUGUAAAAGACACCCCUCAAAUUUUAGUGUAAUGAUUUUAGAAAAAAAUAGCAUCUUAUACAAGGAAAAUAUGAUUGUUUGUUAUAAAUAAAUAAAUAAAUAAAGGGAAACAGAAAUGAAAGGGAAAAGUGGAAACCUUUAAAUGAGUUAUUGCCUAGAAUUUCAUAAACACAUGAAAACAAUUAAGCCUAUGGUCUAGGUUGGAAUGAAUCAAUUGUUAACAGUAGUUCAUUUCCAAUCUUUUCAGCUGAUUAGAUGUUUGUCUAAGCUCCAGAAAUGGGGAUGAUGAGGCUCUGAAGAGAUUAAGUAUCUGACAGCUGGACUAGCCAAGGCUGGGAGAAAGAACUACUCAAGGAGGGAAAGAAGGAAUGAAAGUGAGCAAGAAAGCCGGACAAGAAGCUACCAAAUCAGCUUUCCAUGUUUCUGCAAAACCAUAAGUAUGACACAUAUUCACAUACUUUCUCCAGUGAAUGCUUAUUGUUCUCACUUCCACACUCUGGAGCCCUAUUCAAGUGUUCUAAAUAGCAUGCUGUGACCAUCCUUGGGAGAAGCAUCCAUCCCUAAUAGAGAUGGGCAUGAACCAGCACAGUGACAGGUUGUGAUAGUUUGUGGCUCGUCAAUGUCAAUGAACCA
rnacentral:lncRNA from 1 species